GCAUGUAUAGGUGUUGAGUCCAAUUUAAUUUCAAGAGCUAAUUGUUCUAUACAGGAAUAGAUUACAGAAAUCAACCACCCAUGAAUUAUUUCACAAAGACCUAAUUCCUUUUCAGCAUGUUAUAAUUAACAUCUGUCCUAAAGAGAACGUAGUUUUGUGGGUGACAGAAACAGCUCUAAGCAACACUCACAACAUUUACCUGCAACACAUAUACAUGCUCACAUAUAAACAUGCUAGCUGGUUGAAUUUUUAAUUCCUAAUUUUGCAACAUAUAAUUCCCAACAAUUGAAGUUUUUUCACAUACAUUACACCCUCUGGCUGAAAUUUGAGAAGGCAGGAUGAGGAUGGGGCUGCCCAUUGAGAGUCUGGUUGUUGGUGGA
rnacentral:misc_RNA from 1 species